GAUGAACGCUGGCGGCGUGCCUAAUACAUGCAAGUCGAGCGAACGGACGAGGAGCUUGCUUUUCUGAUGUUAUCGGCGGACGGGUGAUUAACACGUGGAUAACCUACCUAUCAGACUGGGAUAACUUCGGGAAACCGGAGCUAAUACCGGAUAAUAUUUUGAACCGCAUUGUUCAAAAGUGAAAGACGGUCUUGCUGUCACUUAUAGAUGGAUCCGCGCUGCAUUAGCUAGUUGGUAAGGUAACGGCUUACCAAGGCAACGAUGCAUAGCCGACCUGAGAGGGUCAUUGGCCACACUGUAACUGAGACAGGGCCGAGACACCUACAGGAGGAAGCAGUAGGGAAUCCUACGCAAUGCGCGAAAGCGGGACGGAGCAACGCCGCGUGAGGGAUGAAGGUCUUCGGAUCGGUGAACGAUGAUAGUAGGGGAGAACAUAUGUGUAAGUAACUGUGCACAUCUUGACGGUACCGAAUCAGAAAGCCACGGCUAACUCCGUG
rnacentral:rRNA from 1 species